rnacentral:rRNA from 1 species
GGUGAACGCUGGCGGCGUGCUUAAGACAUGCAAGUCGAACGGCAGUCUUCGGACUGUAGUGGCGCACGGGUGAGUAACGCGUAACUGACCUACCCCAAAGUCGCGGAUAACGAUUCGAAAGAAUCGCUAAUACGUGAUGUGCUGUCAGAUUGUGUUCUGCCAGUAAAGAUUGGUUGCUUUGGGAUGGGGUUGCGUUCCAUCAGCUAGUUGGUGGGGUAAAGGCCCACCAAGGCGACGACGGAUAGCCGGCAUGAGAGGGUGGCCGGCCACAGGGGCACUGAGACACGGGUCCCACUCCUACGGGAGGCAGCAGUUAGGAAUCUUCCACAAUGGGCGAAAGCCUGAUGGAGCGACGCCGCGUGAGGGAUGAAGGUCUUCGGAUCGUAAACCUCUGAAUCAGGGACGAAAGACACUUCGGUGGGAUGACGGUACCUGAGUAAUAGCACCGGCUAACCCCGUGCCAGCCGCCGCGGUAACAC